rnacentral:rRNA from 1 species
AAAUCCCCCUUUUGGCCAGAAAAUCCUUCUUAUGAAGGGAUAGGGUUUGUUCGGCCGGAUUUUACACAAGUGUGCAUGGCGUCGUCAGCUCGUGUCGUGAGAUGUUGGGUUAAGUCCCGCAACGAGCGCAACCCUCAUCCUUAGUUGCCAUCAGGUAAUGCUGAGUACUUUAAGGAAACUGCCAGUGAUAAGCUGGAGGAAGGUGGGGAUGAUGUCAAGUCAUCAUGGCCUUUAUGGAGUGGGCUACACACGUGCUACAAUGGUGUCUACAAUGGGCUGCAAGGUGCGCAAGCCUAAGCUAAUCCCUAAAAGACAUCUCAGUUCGGAUUGUACUCUGCAACUCGAGUACAUGAAGUUGGAAUCGCUAGUAAUCGUGGAUCAGCAUGCCACGGUGAAUACGUUCUCGGGUCUUGUACACACUGCCCGUCACGCCAUGGGAAUUGGUUUCACUCGAAGCUAAUGGCCUAACCGCAAGGAAGGAGUUAUUAAAGUGGGAUCAGGACUGGUGG